UUCAAAUUGAGAGUUUGAUCCUGGCUCAGGAUGAACGCUGGCGGCGUGCCUAAUACAUGCAAGUCGAACGCUUUGUGGUUCAACUGAUUUG
rnacentral:rRNA from 1 species